GCCGAGGGACGGACUGCAAGGUGCUGCAUGGUUGUCGUCAGCUCGUGCCGUGAGGUGUCGGGUUAAGUCCCAUAACGAGCGCAACCCUCAUUGUUAGUUACCAGCGGAUCAUGCCGGGGACUCUAACAAGACUGCCACCGUAAGGUGAGAGGAAGGUGGGGAUGACGUCAAAUCAGCACGGCCCUUAUAUCCAGGGCUACACACGUGUUACAAUGGCCAGUACAAAGGGCAGCUACCUGGUGACAGGAUGCUAAUCUCCAAAACUGGUCUCAGUUCGGAUCGCAGGCUGCAACUCGCCUGCAUGAAGCCGGAAUCGCUAGUAAUCGCGGAUCAGCAUGCCGCGGUGAAUACGUUCCCGGGCCUU
rnacentral:rRNA from 1 species